AGAGUUUGAUCCUGGCUCAGAAUCAACGCUGGCGGCGUGCCUAACACAUGCAAGUCGAACGAGAAAGCGGGGGCAACUCCGCGAGUAAAGUGGCGCACGGGUGAGUGACACGUGACUAACCUACCUCGGAGUUCGGAAUAACCUCGGGAAACCGGGGCUAAUACCGGAUAACACCUACGGGUCAAAGGAGCAAUUCGCUCUGAGAGGGGGUCGCGGCUGAUUAGCUAGUUGGUAGGGUAAUGGCCUACCAAGGCGACGAUCAGUAUCCGGCCUGAGAGGGCGCACGGACACACUGGAACUGAAACACGGUCCAGACUCCUACGGGAGGCAGCAGUGGGGAAUUUUGCACAAUGGGGGAAACCCUGACGCAGCAACGCCGCGUGGAGGAUGAAGCCCUUUGGGGCGUAAACUCCUUUCGAUCGGGACGAUGAUGACGGUACCGGAUGAAGAAGCACCGGCUAACUCUGUGCCAGCAGCCGCGGUAAUACAGAGGGUGCAAGCGUUGUUCGGAAUUAUUGGGCGUAAACGGUGCGUAGGCGGUGCGGUAAGUCUGUGGUGAAAUCUCCGGGGCUCAACUCGGAGCCUGCCGCGGAAACUGCCGUGCUGGAGUAUGGGAGAGGUGAGUGGAAU
rnacentral:rRNA from 1 species